AUUGAACGCUGGCGGCAGGCCUAACACAUGCAAGUCGAGCGGAUGAAGGGAGCUUGCUCCUGGAUUCAGCGGCGGACGGGUGAGUAAUGCCUAGGAAUCUGCCUGGUAGUGGGGGAUAACGUCCGGAAACGGGCGCUAAUACCGCAUACGUCCUGAGGGAGAAAGUGGGGGAUCUUCGGACCUCACGCUAUCAGAUGAGCCUAGGUCGGAUUAGCUAGUUGGUGGGGUAAAGGCCUACCAAGGCGACGAUCCGUAACUGGUCUGAGAGGAUGAUCAGGCACACUGGAACUGAGACACGGUCCAGGCUCCUACGGGAGGCAGCAGUGGGGAAUAUUGGACAAUGGGCGGAAGCCUGAUCCAGCCAUUCCGCGUGGGUGAAGAAGGGCUUCGGGUUGUAAAGCACUUUUAGUGGGGAAGAAAGGCAGUAAGUUAAUACCUUGCUGUUUUGACGGUACCAACAGAAUAAGCACCGGCUAACUUCGUG
rnacentral:rRNA from 1 species